rnacentral:rRNA from 1 species
AGUGAACGCUGGCGGCAGGCCUAACACAUGCAAGUCGAGCGGCAGCGCGUCCGACCACCCUCGGGUGGUCGGAUGGCGGCGAGCGGCGGACGGGUGAGGAAUGCAUCGGAAUCUGCCUCGUUGUGGGGGAUAACGUAGGGAAACUUACGCUAAUACCGCAUACGACCUACGGGUGAAAGUGGGGGACCUUCGGGCCUCACGCGAUGAGAUGAGCCGAUGCCGGAUUAGCUAGUUGGCGGGGUAAAGGCCCACCAAGGCGAUUAUCGGUAGCUGGUCUGAGAGGACGAUCAGCCACACGGGAACUGAGACACGGUCCCGACUCCUACGGGGGGCAGCAGUGAGGAAUAUUGGGCAAUGGGCGAAAGCCUGACCCAGCAACGCCGCGUGGAGGAUGAAGGCUUUAGGGUUGUAAACUCCUUUUGUGGGGAAAAGAAUGGAUGGUACCCCAAGAAUAAGUCACGGCUAACUACGUG